GAGUAGGGGUGAUUUUAGACUAUGAUGAGAAGCUUUUCCUAAUUGGAACCGAUUAGAACGUGGUUGUUUAUGGUUUGGCGUUGCACCUUCUAUUGUCAAGAGGUUGUUUAAGGAUUAUUUUUUUCUGGCAGAGAGUUCGGGUUACAAUAAUGUAAUUUGAGUAAGCCACCAGUAUAUCUUUCAGAUGUCCUGAUGAGAGUUGUCGACUUUGGUGUGUUUUAAUGUUAAACCAUGCCUGAUGGAUCAAUUUUUAGUGUUUCCAUUAUUCGAUUAUCACUUAUUUUUGCAAAUAACAACACAGUUGUUCACAUCGGCGCUCUAGUACAUGUGUUUCUUUGCCUCUUAUGAUUUGAAAUUUCUUGUUUCCGAAGCAGCUCUUUAAUGACAUGUUCUUGUUGAUAAGAGUCCAUGCGAUGUAUUGGUGAAUAAUACUGCUAUCCAGAAGCUCCUACUGAAUAGUACUGAUUUGGGGUUGAGGUAUUUUUUGUCUUGACUGCAACAUGUUUACCAAGCACUGUAUUGUGGAUGAAGGUUAAGCCUUCCAAAUAGUGACAGGUUGGAGAUGUCAUCAUACUUUUUUUGUGGAGGGAGCUAAGACUAUUGCAGAGUUGUUGAAAGAAAAACUCAACCUUGCGAAUUCUUGAACUCAACAAAAAUAUGAUUGAUUAUUCUAUACGCAUUUACUUUAUCAUCUAAGAUUUUUAGCCAGUUGUUAUUUGUUAGGAACCAAAAGUUUGCUAGACUAUUCUGUUUAUCAACUGUUCAUUUAUUCGCUAGUGUUAGGGAUUUACAAGUCUUGCAGGAGCAUUGCUCGAGAAUAAUACCAUACAAAAUUUACAUCUAAAGUAAGUUAACUUUCCAAUGAUGGUCCCCAAAAAAUUGUACCUAUCCGUUUUGAAAUUUCUUGUUGUCUCAUUUGCAUUAGUUUAAGUUUAUCA
rnacentral:lncRNA from 1 species